UCCGCAAUGCGUGCAAGCGCGACGGAGUGACCCCCAGUGCCGAUGGUCUAACGAUCGUCGGCUUUUCUGGAGUGUAAAAAGCUCUGGGUAAUAAGGGCCGGGUAAGACUGGUGCCAGCCGCCGCGGUAACACCAGCGGCUCAAGUGGUAGUCGAUUUUAUUGGGUCUAAAGCGUCCGUAGCCGGAUCGUCAAGUCCCUUGUGAAAUCGGGCGGCUUAACCGCUCGGCUUGCAAGAGAAACUGACGUUCUUGGGGUCGGCAGGCGCCGAGGGUACUCCGGAGGUAGCGGUGAAAUGCUAUAAUCUUCGGGGGACCGCCGGUGGCGAAAGCGCUCGGCGGGGCCGAACCCGACGGUGAGGGACGAAGGCCAGGGGAGCGAACCGGAUUAGAUACCCGGGUAGUCCUGGCUGUAAAGUAUGUGGGCAGGUGCCAGACGUUCCUCGAGAGCGCUUGGUGCCGAAGGGAAGCCGUUAAGCCCACCACCUGGGGAGUACGGUCGCAAGACUGAAACUUAAAGAAAUUGGCGGGGGAGCACCACAAGGGGUGGAGCCUGCGGUUUAAUUGGAUUCAACGCCGGACAUCUCACCGGGGGCGACGGCAGAGUGAAGGCCAAGUUGACGACUUUGCCGGACUCGCCGAGAGGUGGUGCAUGGCCGCCGUCAGCUCGUAUCGUGAGACGUCCUGUCAAGUCAGGUAACGAGCGAGACCCUUAUCCUUAGUUGCCAGCGGAUCCCUCUGGGAUGCCGGGCACUCUAAGGAGACCGCUGUCGAUAAGGCAGAGGAAGGAGAGGGCGACGGUAGGUCCGUAUGCCCCGAAUCCCCCGGGCAACACGCGGGCUACAAUGCGCGGGACGGAGGGCUGCGACCCCGAGAGGGGAAGCCGAUCCCUAAACCUGCGCCUAGUUCGGAUCGAGGGCUGCAACUCGCCCUCGUGAAGCUGGAAUCCCUAGUAAUCGCGUGUCACUAUCGCGCGGUGAAUACGUCCCUGCUCCUUGCACACACC
rnacentral:rRNA from 1 species